rnacentral:lncRNA from 1 species
GAGCAUACAGAUUAAAACUAGAUCUAGACUAUAAAAGAGAGGCUACUAAAAAGAGAAAAUCCUAGGUUAAAAGAUGAUGAUUACAAGUAAAGGGGUGGGGGUAUUUAUAGCUAGAAAUGUAGGGUUUAGGGGUAGGGUGGCUAAAUCUAAUCCAUCCAUGUGUGAUGUGUGUUGGGUAAAUCAUAGCCAUCCAUGUGCCCCCUUGCUUGUCAACUCUCUUUGAUUUUCUUCUUUUCUUUUCUUUUUCUCCCUUUUUCUUGCAUUUUCUCUUCUUUCUUUAUUUAUCUACAAUUUC